UUGGGAAUCUUGGACAAUGGGGGAAACCCUGAUCCAGCCAUGCCGCGUGAGUGAUGAAGGCCUUAGGGUUGUAAAGCUCUUUCGCACGCGACGAUAAUGACGGUAGCGUGAGAAGAAGCCCCGGCUAACUUCGUGCCAGCAGCCGCGGUAAUACGAAGGGGGCUAGCGUUGUUCGGAAUUACUGGGCGUAAAGCGCGCGCAGGCGGGUCAUCAAGUCAGAGGUGAAAGCCCGGAGCUUAACUCCGGAAUAGCCUUUGAAACUGUUGAUCUUGAGUACGGGAGAGGUGAGUGGAAUUCGCAGUGUAGAGGUGAAAUUCGUAGAUAUUGGGAAGAACACCAGUGGCGAAGGCGGCUCACUGGCCCGUUACUGACGCUCAGGCGCGAUAGCGUGGGGA
rnacentral:rRNA from 1 species